rnacentral:rRNA from 1 species
CGGGCCCCCGGAUCCUCGGGUCUCCCGCUCGCGGGAGGCUGCCCGCCGGAGUGCCGAAACCAAACUCUUGAUAUUUUAUGUCUCUCUGAGUAAACUUUUAAAUAAGUCAAAACUUUCAACAACGGAUCUCUUGGUUCUGGCAUCGAUGAAGAACGCAGCGAAAUGCGAUAAGUAAUGUGAAUUGCAGAAUUCAGUGAAUCAUCGAAUCUUUGAACGCACAUUGCGCUCGCCAGUAUUCUGGCGAGCAUGCCUGUUCGAGCGUCAUUUCAACCAUCAAGCUCUGCUUGCGUUGGGGAUCCGCGGCUGCCCGCGGUCCCUCAAAAACAGUGGCGGGCUCGCUAGUCACACCGAGCGUAGUAACUCUACAUCGUUCUGGUCGUGCGGCGGGUUCUUGCCGUAAAACCCCCCAAUUUCUAAGGUUGACCUCGGAUCAGGUAGGAAUACCCGCUGAACUUAAGCAUAUCAAUAAGCGGAGGAAAAGAAACCAACAGGGAUUGCCCUAGUAACGGCGAGUGAAGCGGCAACAGCUCAAAUUUGAAAUCUGGCUUCGGCCCGAGUUGUAAUUUGUAGAGGAAGCUUUUGGUGAGGCACCUUCUGAGUCCCCUGGAACGGGGCGCCAUAGAGGGUGAGAGCCCCGUAUAGUCGGAUGCCGAUCCAAUGUAAAGCUCCUUCGACGAGUCGAGUAGUUUGGGAAUGCUGCUCAAAAUGGGAGGUAAAUUUCUUCUAAAGCUAAAUAUAGGCCAGAGACCGAUAGCGCACAAGUAGAGUGAUCGAAAGAUGAAAAGCACUUUGAAAAGAGGGUUAAAUAGCACGUGAAAUUGUUGAAAGGGAAGCGUUUUUGACCAGACUUGCGCCGUUCCGAUCAUCCGGUGUUCUCACCGGUGCACUCGGGACGGCUCAGGCCAGCAUCGGUUUUGGUGGGGGGAUAAAGGUCCGGGGAACGUAGCUCC